AUGCCACUGAUUAGGAAAUAGCUCGGGGGCUUUGACUCAUAAGCUCAGCGGAGCAAAGCUCCUCCAUAUUUGACACUAAACAAGUGUAUCACAGAUGGCUUCUGGCACUGCUGGCAAGCGCCUUCACGCUGCUGGAUGUGGGCGAUGACCGAGCUCCUCCUCACGCAGAGGAACCUGCCUGGACACGGCUGCCAGGUGCUGGUAGCAGGUGGGGGCCGAGGGGAGCGGGGAGGAGGCCUCGGCUGCGUGGCCGGCUGCCACAGCGGGUCAGGGGAUCAUCUUCCGUCCAGCUGCUGAUGCCCUGUUAUCCCAGAGCCAUUCAUCACGGAUCGCUGAGAGUCAGAUAUGCUCUGCCCCCCGAACCCCCACUCAGCUCCCAGCAUUCCUCACUUUCCCCUGUGGAUCUCCACCUCUGAUAGCUGUAAGGGCCGUGCCGAUGUAGCCAAACACCCAUCCGCCGUGCAUUUGCAUGCAUUUGCAAAGGUGGUUUGAAU